rnacentral:rRNA from 1 species
GCAUCAGAAACUGUCGAGCUUGAGUACAGAAGAGGAGAGUGGAACUCCAUGUGUAGCGGUGAAAUGCGUAGAUAUAUGGAAGAACACCGGUGGCGAAGGCGGCUCUCUGGUCUGUUACUGACGCUGAGGCUCGAAAGCAUGGGUAGCGAACAGGAUUAGAUACCCUGGUAGUCCAUGCCGUAAACGAUGAGUGCUAAGUGUUGGGAGGUUUCCGCCUCUCAGUGCUGCAGCUAACGCAUUAAGCACUCCGCCUGGGGAGUACGACCGCAAGGUUGAAACUCAAAGGAAUUGACGGGGGCCCGCACAGGCGGUGGAGCAUGUGGUUUAAUUCGAAGCAACGCGAAGAACCUUACCAAGUCUUGACAUCCUUUGACCACUCUAGAGAUAGAGCUUUCCCUUCGGGGGCAAAGUGACAGGUGGUGCAUGGUUGUCGUCAGCUCGUGUCGUGAGAUGUUGGGUUAAGUCCCGCAACGAGCGCAACCCCUAUUGUUAGUUGCCAGCAUUGAGUUGGGCACUCUAGCAAGACUGCCGGUGACAAACCGGAGGAAGGCGGGGAUGACGUCAAAUCAUCAUGCCCCUUAUGACUUGGGCUACACACGUGCUACAAUGGAUGGUACAACGGGCAGCGAGCUCGCGAGAGUCAGCGAAUCCCUUAAAGCCAUUCUCAGUUCGGAUUGUAGUCUGCAACUCGACUACAUGAAGCCGGAAUCGCUAGUAAUCGCGGAUCAGCACGCCGCGGUGAAUACGUUCCCGGGUCUUGUACACACCGCCCGUCACACCACGAGAGUUUGUAACACCCGAAGUCGGUGAGGUAACCUUUUGGAGCCAGCCGCCGAAGGUGGGACAAGUGAUUGGGGUG